rnacentral:misc_RNA from 1 species
GUAAGCUGUUACUAAUAUGCUAUUUAUGUCUUGAAUUCCUACCCAUUGCUGUUUCUGAUACAAGCAACUAUAAUUUUCCAACAAGUUAUUAUGACAGCAAAUUUUUUCACAGAAGAUGACUGGUUGCUUUAACCUACUCAUUUUAUAUUAUUAUGCAAUUCCAUAGCCCUUCCGGAACACUAAUUGUACAGAACUGAAGAUGCAAUAAACCAUGAUUUAGAAGAAAUUUCUGUCAAUUGUGGUGUCUUUAAUUUUAUUCUAUCCACGGAAUGGGAGGUUUUAUAGUCUUGGCUGAACAAGUUAUGAUGACCAUGGUUGCUUAUGAAUUGCCAUCCAGUUCUGCUAGUACUUCUAUCAGUUAGAUCACAAGAAAUUUCACCUUGUAAGAACCCAUUAUCCAAUGUGGAGAAAGGGACAAACUUGUUGAAGUGAGAGAUUUAGUUUUAUAGUUUGCACUUCGCAUUUCUCAAGAAGUGCUAGAAGCCUAGAAGUGAGGUUGAAUCAAGAUAAGCCAAUCAGUUUCAGUUGUUGGAAGUAAACAGGAUAUAUCUAAAUUAUAUCCAGCAACAUCCCCAACACUGCAGAUAUUUUAUUUGGCCGAUCUUGAUUUGAUUGAUAUUGAUUUCUGAGAACUUGAAAUUUUCACAGAACCGUUAUGUUCAGAGACCUGAAAAUUAGAUGAGACUUGCUGUGUUAUGGACCUUAUUUAGGUUUGGACAUAGCGUACAAUUGAUUAAGUUUUAUUUAAGGAUUUACUGUUGAUUUGGGAAAAUCUCCAAUGGCCAAAUUUUUAUGAUCAUGUACAGUAUAUUUUGGUGCUCCAUCUGGGUCGGUUGUAUAUAUUUCUUUCAUCUGUGACUUAAAAUGAAUCUACAAGUUAUAACUGAAAGCUUCAAAUAGUCCACAAACUCUAUAAUUAAUUCCCCUUUUCUUGCAGACCAAAAUACUACUGCUUUUAAAGAGGUUGCAAUUAUUCGUCAUCCUCGCCAUGGGGAAUAUGCAUUUGGUUUCAUCACA